GUCGAUUUGGCAAUUGCGGAGAGCUGCAAUAUCUGGAGAUAUAUCCCAAGUUCGAAAACUUUUGGAAAAAGGAGCAGACCCAAACGAGUAUGAUACCUUGGGCAGCGCAGUUUUGAGAGGUCACACAGACAUUGUGAAGAUACUUCUGGAAAAAGGAGCCGACGUAAAUAAGUAUGAUACCUUGUACGGUGCAGCUGGGGAAGGUCACACAGACAUUGUGAAGAUACUUCUGGAAAAAGGAGCCGACGUAAAUCAGUCAGAUGCUCUGUGGCAUGCAACUAUAGGUGGUCAUACAGAAAUUGUUAAGAUACUCCUGGAUAAGGGAGCCGACGUUAAUCAGGUUAGUUAACUGAACAUUUUUAACGAAAGCUGUAUGGUGAUGUUGUAUUAUAAUAUUGCUUGAACGAUAACAACUCGAUGGAAAAUUAUGUUAUGGUCUGAUCAGUGCUCUUAGAGGUAGAGACACUUAAAAGCAUCCUCUUUGAAGGGCAACUAUACCUACAGUUAGGAUUAUCUUCAUAUGUGUUUAAAUGUUUUACAGAAAUGAAACAAUGACAGUCGUAGCACUGAUCCUUGGUGUACUGUUAACAUAUCGUUAUCCAAUACAGGAAAGCAAUGUCUUCAACUUUCAAAUUCAGACCAGAUCUUAUAACCUUGCAUUCAGUUUAUGAUUUAAUAUUUACCACUACAUGACACUGCCAUGAUAUGACCUUGCCAGAGCAAGUUAUAUAUCCUUGCAAUUAAACCGUGCACCAUUUAAUAUUACAGAAUAGCAACAAUUCACAAGCGGUGUAAGAAGAAUGAAUACAAAUAAAUAGCCACAAAUAGAACAUAAAUGCACUUUGUUCAUUGGGAAAACUUAUUUCUAAAAUUUAAUAUAACUAUAAAUAAAUUUAUUACUCUGAUGAUAAAUAUUUUUUGUUGAAUUAAUAUUUCGUUGGUUGAAGGUUGAUGACGUUGUAUACUUUGUAUUGAAAUAUACUUUACCUCAAUUUUGUUCAGGUAAACUAAGAGUUCUGCCCUGUGACCAGUCAUAUAGCUAUAUUUUACGUUGUAAUUAUGUUUCUCCAAAAACUGGGAACAAAACUUAUCUAGGUGGUCCCAAAAAACGUAAAUAAUAAAGAUGGAGUGUUGUUUUAACAGUAUACCUACAUUACCUGUACUUUUAAAGCAUUGUCCCUGUUACCUGUACAGGAAAAUUAAGGUGUUUUUAAUGACUACAUCAGUUAUCAAAAAGUAAAUAAAUAGAUAAAUGAAAAGAAAAAUUAUGUAUAUGAUAUAAUUGAUGGUAAUUUUAAGAAAUUUUUAUAAUUUUAUUAUUUAGAAUUGAUUCAUUAUUCAAAUUGCAAUAGAAUCAGAUGUAAAGUGUUUCACAGUUGUUUUAUUUUAAAAGAAAAUUCAAUAAUUUACCUAUUUUAAUAUGUAUCCCAACAAUGUUACAAAUGAGGAACUUCAACAGAAAACAAAAAAGCUGGUAACUAGUAAUUAAAGAUAUUUGGCCAACUUCAGGAGAGGUGUAUUUCCUGAAAUUAAUUUGGAAUUCAGUUUAGAUGUAAUUAUGUUAUUAAAAUUAUGUCUAGAAACAAGUCAGUUGAUAAGGAUUUAACUGAAUAAAAAUAAAUGUUCCCCCAUGUUUUA